GACGAACGCUGGCGGCGUGCCUAAUACAUGCAAGUCGAACGCAGUGGGGAUGGGUGAGGAACACGUGGGUAACCUCCCAUCAGAGGGGAGAACACUUGGAAACAGGUGCUAAACCGAUACUGAUGGAUGGACCCGGUGUGAAUUAGCUAGUUGGUGGGGUAACGGCUCAACAAGGCCACGAUGCAUAGACGACCUGAGAGGAGGAUCGGCCACACUGGGACUGAGAAACGGCCCAGACUCCUACGGGAGGCAGCAGUGGGGAAUCUUGCGCAAUGGACGAAAGCCUGACGGAGCAACGCCGCGUGAAUGAAGAAGGUUUUCGGGUCGUAAAGCUCUGUUGUUAGAGAAGCGGUAUCUAACCAGAAAGCCACGGCUAACUCCGUGCCAGCAGCCGCGGUAAUAC
rnacentral:rRNA from 1 species